rnacentral:rRNA from 1 species
GAACGGCAGCACGGGGGCAACCCUGGUGGCGAGUGGCGAACGGGUGAGUAAUACAUCGGAACGUGUCCUGUAGUGGGGGAUAGCCCGGCGAAAGCCGGAUUAAUACCGCAUACGAUCUACGGAAGAAAGCGGGGGAUCUUCGGACCUCGCGCUGCAGGGGCGGCCGAUGGCAGAUUAGCUAGUUGGUGGGGUAAAGGCCUACCAAGGCGACGAUCUGUAGCUGGUCUGAGAGGACGACCAGCCACACUGGGACUGAGACACGGCCCAGACUCCUACGGGAGGCAGCAGUGGGGAAUUUUGGACAAUGGGGGCAACCCUGAUCCAGCAAUGCCGCGUGUGUGAAGAAGGCCUUCGGGUUGUAAAGCACUUUUGUCCGGAAAGAAAACCAUCGCCCUAAUAUGGUGGUGGGAUGACGGUACCGGAAGAAUAAGCACCGGCUAACUACGUG